ensembl:lncRNA
CAAAAGCCAGUCAACUCUCUUUUCUAAGCAAUGGAAACCAGGACCCAUUCAUAGAUGUGGAAGAGGUGUUGGAGCCCCAUCCAGAGGAGCUUUGUGAGAGCCGCCAGCACCCGACUGGGGAGGCCAGGAAGCCACGGCCGGCACUCAGAGCGAGGGAGCUCAGGCCCAGCUCAGCAAGGAGGCUCGACUAGAAGCCAGGCCCUUACCCAGGCCACUCCGUGGGACCCUCUGGAAGUGUUUCUCAUAACAAGAAGAGGGAUUAAUGAACUCCAGUCCUCACAGAAGCCCCACGGAAAGAGGCCGUCACCCCCACUCUACCCUGGGGAACAGGGGUCACAAAACUGCUAAGGAGCCAGUCAGAGCUGGUAACGGGAUGGAGAGCCCAGGACUCAAACCAGUCACAGGUCCUGUGCUGUUCCUCGGUCAUCUUCCUGAUAGAAAAGAGGAAAGUGCCUCCGAAGAGCCACCGUGCAGAGUAUGAGGGAGUGGGAUAAGGAUUAAAAGAAGACAGCACCAUAGAGCAAGAUGAGAGAGGUUUCCAAAGGCUGCGUCUAGGACGAGCCAGGGGACCUUGAUAGCUGAGACGUUAACUCUGCAGAGAGGAGGAGAAGAUGAACCAGAGGACGCCUAGAACCGGUGAGCACCACGCAGGGUCCUUCAGAGACGGGCGGAGUCCGUGCUGAGAGCUCCCUCCAAGGCUGGGAUAGCUUGGGCACUUCUCUUUGCUCACGGAGAAAUCCCAAAGGCAUUUGGUUUUCUUUGAGGCCUCUACUCCCCAUUUCUUGGUGGCCAUUAUUAGUUCAAUCAAAAGGUGGCAGCCUUGAGGGGCGAAUGAGCCCCCUCUUCUGAGCCAGGAGCCCGCUUCCGAAGGUGUAGCAGGCUCCGGUUUCAAGUCCCUGAUCAGGGCCAGCUGUAGCCGACCCACCCCGUCGACUCGUUGGGGACCUAGACCUGCUACUUCCUUCUCCCUGACCUGGGGGUGAAUGAGGAGGAUGAAUGGCAAACAGACACAGAGUCAGUUUAAUUUUCAGGCAGCCAGAGGAGGCCCUAGUGUCUGACUCAUCUUGCCUCUAUUUACCCGAAUGGGUGCAAGCAAUCAGAGAAACACAGGAUCCACCUGCUUUCCGGGAUUCAUUACUACAAACUCUGGUAAACAACUUAACCUCCGGCGUCCUAACUUUUCCCUGGAUCCCGCACUAUGCGGUCACCCCUGAGAGCAGCCUUCCUCCUUUGUGCUCACAGAGGGGCCAGCUAGGCCUCAGUUCUCCUCUGCUCUCUGGCACUCAGGUGCAAGAGGGUAACCUUGCUUCUAUCCCAAAGCCAAGCCUGAGCCACCAUGGGUGGAGGCAGGAGACAUCCAAGGUCACAUAGAUGUAAAGCUUGACUUGGGGCCCAGCUGCUGUGGCCAGAGGCUGUCCUUCCACCAAUGAUGUCGCUAACCUGAGGAGCUGGAGCCAGCAGCGCUUGAUGCCCUGCCAUCCCGCUACUGCCAGCAACAGGACUCUGCUCCUCUGACCUUUGGCCCAGGCGCCUCCCGUUGCAUCUCCUCCCAACACUUCCCAUGGUGCCCGCUGGAGUCCCCUGUCCACUGUCGAAUCCCCAACCUGUUCUUUGACUUUUGACAUUAAAACAAAAGAAAGAGAUGGAAAGAAAUGUCAGCAAUUUUCUGUUUCCCCUGUUGUUUUAGGCUGA